CUUGGGGGACAAGCGUUAUCCGGGAAUCAUUGGGCGUAAAGGGCAUGUAGGCGGUUUGACAAGUUGGUUGUGAAAGCUCACAGCUUAACUGAGAGAGGUCAGCCAAAACUGUCAGACUUGAGCGAGGUAGAGGAGAGCGGAAUUCCCGGUGUAGUGGUGGAAUGCGUAGAGAUCGGGAGGAACACCAGAGGCGAAAGCGGCUCUCUGGGCCUUGCCUGACGCUGAGAUGCGAAAGCGUGGGGAGCGAACGGGAUUAGAUACCCCGGUAGUCCACGCCGUAAACGAUGGAUACUAGGUGUAGCGGGUUAUUGACCCCUGCUGUGCCGCAGCAAACGCGCUAAGUAUCCCGCCUGGGGAGUACGGCCGCAAGGCUA
rnacentral:rRNA from 1 species